rnacentral:rRNA from 1 species
UACGGGGGGAGCAAGCGUUGUUCGGAUUUACUGGGCGUAAAGGGCGCGUAGGCGGCAAAUCAAGUCAGCUGUGAAAUCUCCGAGCUUAACUCGGAACGGUCAGCUGAUACUGUUUUGCUAGAGUACAGAAGGGGCAAUCGGAAUUCUUGGUGUAGCGGUGAAAUGCGUAGAUAUCAAGAGGAACACCUGAGGUGAAGACGGGUUGCUGGGCUGAUACUGACGCUGAGGCGCGAAAGCUAGGGUAGCAAACGGG